GAUGAACGCUAGCUACAGGCUUAACACAUGCAAGUCGAGGGGAAACGACAUCGAAAGCUUGCUUUUGAUGGGCGUCGACCGGCGCACGGGUGAGUAACGCGUAUCCAACCUGCCCAUCACUUGGGGAUAACCUUGCGAAAGUAAGACUAAUACCCAAUGAUAUCUCUAGAAGACAUCUGAAAGAGAUUAAAGAUUUAUCGGUGAUGGAUGGGGAUGCGUCUGAUUAGCUUGUUGGCGGGGUAACGGCCCACCAAGGCAACGAUCAGCAGGGGUUCUGAGAGGAAGGUCCCCCACAUUGGAACUGAGACACGGUUCAAACUCCUACGGGAGGCAGCAGUGAGGAAUAUUGGUCAAUGGGCGAGAGCCUGAACCAGCCAAGUAGCGUGCAGGAAGACGGCCCUAUGGGUUGUAAACUGCUUUUAUAAGGGAAUAAAGUGAGAGUCGUGACUCUUUUUGUAUGUACCUUAUGAAUAAGGACCGGCUAAUUCCGU
rnacentral:rRNA from 1 species